UACGGAGGAUGCGAGCGUUAUCCGGAUUCAUUGGGUUUAAAGGGUGCGUAGGCGGCUUCUUAAGUCAGUGGUGAAAUCCUGCGGCUCAACCGUAGAACUGCCAUUGAUACUGAUAAGCUUGAAUAUAGUUGAGGUAGGCGGAAUGAGUAGUGUAGCGGUGAAAUGCUUAGAUAUUACUCAGAACACCGAUUGCGAAGGCAGCUUACCAAGUUAUAAUUGACGCUGAGGCACGAAAGCGUGGGGAUCAAACAGG
rnacentral:rRNA from 2 species